AUUGAACGCUGGCGGCAGGCCUAACACAUGCAAGUCGAACGAGUGGCGGACGGGUGAGUAAUGUCUGGGAAACUGCCCGAUGGAGGGGGAUAACUACUGGAAACGGUAGCUAAUACCGCAUACCAUCGAAUGUGCCCAGGUGGGAUUAGCUAGUAGGUGGGGUAACGGCUCAACUAGGCGACGAUCCCUAGCUGGUCUGAGAGGAUGACCAGCCACACUGGAACGUAGACACGGUCCAGACUCCUACGGGAGGCAGCAGUGGGGAAUAUUGCACAAUGGGCGCAAGCCUGAUGCAGCCAUGCCGCGUGUAUUAAGAAGGCCUUCGGGUUUUAAAGUACUUUCAGCGAGGAGGCGUUACCCGCAGAAGAAGCACCGGCUAACUCCGUGCCAGCAGCCGCGGUAAUUC
rnacentral:rRNA from 1 species